UGGUGGAGCCGGUGACCCAGACUUGUAGUAGGUAAGCGAUGGGGUGACGCAGGAAGGUAGUCCAGCCCGGGCGGUGGUUGUCCCGGGGUAAGGGUGUAGGACGUUGUCUAGGCAAAUCCGGACAACACAUAGUCUGAGACCUGAUGCCGAGCCGAUUGUGGUGAAGUGGAUGAUCCUAUGCUGUCGAGAAAAGCCUCUAGCGAGUUUCAUGGCGGCCCGUACCCUAAACCGAC
rnacentral:ncRNA from 1 species